rnacentral:misc_RNA from 1 species
GUCGAAGGUGGGGCUGAUGACUGGGGUGAAGUCGUAACAAGGUAUCCGUACCGGAAGGUGCGGAUGGAUCACCUCCUAACAGGGAGACAACACAAUGAUUUUGAUGCCUGAGUACUUUUAUUCUUAGGCCGAAAUCCUGUCACCUUAGGUCGAUCGGUACCUCAGCUUUGAAGUUAAGGAUCAGCAGCAAUGUUGAUUGCUUGAUGGAAAUUUUCAGUUCCUAAACUUUGUCUAGGUCACACCCCAAAAGGGAUGAGACUCCUGGGCCAUUAGCUCAGGUGGUUAGAGCGCACCCCUGAUAAGGGUGAGGUCCCUGGUUCAAGUCCAGGAUGGCCCAUUCGGUGUUGGGGGUUUAGCUCAGUUGGUAGAGCGCCUGCUUUGCAAGCAGGAUGUCAGGAGUUCGAGUCUCCUAACCUCCACUGACCGAACUUGAUUCCCAUCUCCAAUUUUUUGGAGUUGAGCUCGAUUGGAGUGUGAUUUAGAUGUGUCCGCUGGAUGACCCCAGCUUCCUGUCAUUCCAAGUUUUAGGUUAAAGCCUUGAAUUUGGUUGAUAAGAUGCUGGGCUCGAAUCAAAUGAUCAAGCAAUUGAUGAUUUGAUUUGAAGUUCUAGCAGAACCUUGACAACUGCAUAGGUGAGUCUGGAAAAAACAAAGCAUCUUACAGAUGCAUUGUUUUGAAUCUGAUCUUCUGAAAGGGAGAUUGGAUCUAGAACAAUGAAAAUUCUUUUGAGCAAGAGCCGAGACUCUUGAAUGUUCUUUGAUUGGUGUCGAGCCAAUCAGAGUUUGAUCUUGUUUUUAGCAAUAAAAACUUGAGAAUCUGCUUUCAACGGCGGUAAGCGUUCAAGAGGUUAAUUGGUCAAGCUACAAAGGGCUCACGGCGGA